rnacentral:lncRNA from 1 species
AAUAAGAGAAAGUAAAAUACAAAUAAAAAUAGGCAGAGAGUAUGCAGAGAGAGCAACAAUAGUAGUGAAGUGAGCAGCAAUAGCAUAGAAGUGAGCAGCAAUAGCAGAUUCAAGCAAACAGCAAUGUAUAGAGAGCAAUAGAACAAUAAAGUAGCCUAAAGCUCAGCCUGAGUUUCAAACCAGCUGAGUAACCAAUAGUCACAAGAGAAGUG